AUCAGUUACAUCCCACCCGACCCUUACAGGACUGUGCUUUACAUGUGUAUUCAGACGAAGAGAGAAAACUGAAGGUUUACACAUAGGACUGUAUGGUUUCUUAGGUGCAGGACUCUCUUCGUAUGAUAGAAAUGGUCUUUUCCAUCAAAGACCCACCAAGGAUGGAUAAAGACAGAAACCACAUGGCUGCAAGGAUAUUAGACAUCACCCUGGAGAUCAUCUCCUUGAUAACUGGAGAGGAUUACACAGUAGUGAAGAAGUCGUCUGGUGAGUGUGUG